rnacentral:rRNA from 1 species
UACAGAGGGUGCAAGCGUUGUUCGGAAUUAUUGGGCGUAAAGGGCGCGUAGGCGGUGCGGUAAGUCUGUAGUGAAAUCUCUGGGCUCAACUCAGAGUCUGCUGCAGAAACUGCCGUGCUUGAGUGUGGGAGAGGCGAGUGGAAUUGCGGGUGUAGCGGUGAAAUGCGUAGAUAUCCGCAGGAACAUCCGAGGCGAAAGCGGCUCGCUGGAUCACAACUGACGCUGAGGGACGAAAGCUAGGGGAGCAAACAGG